GUUUUUCUUGUAGUAUCCAGACAAGAACAGUUGAGGUUGCCACACAAUACCUCAAAGAAAAGCAAAAGCAGAAAGCAUCGCUCAAUUUCAAGUCAUGCUGGGGACAGUGCACAGACUAGGUAUCAAAACGUCGGGAAAGAAUCCCAGACGGACCAGGAAGCAGCAUAUGUUCAACCCAUCUGUGCAGAUUAUUACAACUGUGGACAAUUCAUAAGACCACCCAGCGAGGACUCUUUGCACUAUCAAAACGUUGCUGGACCAUCAAAUGGCUCUCAGUGUGGAAUUGCAGACGUGGGCAUCUACGAGAACAGCGCAGCUCUCGUGUUAUUCCAAGCCCCACCUGAGUCAGAAAGCUCGAGUGAUGAUGAAGAGGCGGAUUAUAUCAAUGCCGGGCCUGGCUUGGUGCCAAAAAGCAGAUAAUCACACGGAUGUUCUCAUCUGUUUCCUGUUUAAGAAUUAAGAAUGAAUGACUCAUCAGUGACCACGAUUUCAUCAGUCUUCCCAGACAAGAGUAUGAUGCCAUUCAGUAUUUCCAAGUCUUAUGCAGCUUCCUUCACGCUGAUCUACAACUCUGAGCAAAUACUCUGACUUUGAGCAGGACUCCAUUCCAAAGUCAACCAGAACGGGGGGAAGAAAAACGGACAGUUUAUAUUUAAAAAUAACCAGAUGGUGGUUCAUGAACUUCAUGCAUCUUCAAAAGGAAAAGGGACGCUGAUAGAACUUAACACCAUGUGUAGUAAGGGAUGGAAUAACAAGAGUUAUCUGUGCUGUGUAAUAGUUCCUGAAUUUUUUUUACUGGUCAGAGCUUUUCAGUGCUAUGUAAGCAGCUGGAUCUUCUCAUCUUGAAAUUUUAGAGUCAUCAGUUUAUAAGGCUGUUGUUUGUCAUAAAACAGAGAGAAGAGUUACCUUCUCCUGCCCCGUGCCUCAAAGGUAGUGCUUAUUUUAAAGCUUCGUAUGCCUUUGGCAGAUCUGGAUGUCCAAACAUACAUCUUAAUAUCAGCGUGAAAGGGGUAAUCAGAGAGCCAGCGUGGUGCAGUGGUUAAGAGCAGGUGCACUCUAAUCUGGAGAACCGGGUUUGAUUCCCCGCUCUGCCACUUGAGCUGUGG